GACCCCACUGGAAAUCGGACUGUCCAACUCACCUGACAGCCACUCCCACAGCCGCUGGAACUCUGGCCCAAGGCUCUCUGACUCCUUCCCAGAUCUUCUUGGCUUAGCGGCUGAAGACUGACGCUGCCCGAUCGCCUCGGAAGCCCCCUAGACCAUCACGGACGCCGAGCUUCGGGUAACUCUCACAGUGGAAGUGUGAAUCUUCACAACGGAAUCUUCACAACAUCUCUGCAAGGUGGAUAAUUAUUAGCUCGAUUUCAUAGUGGGAAAAUCAAGGCUCAGAUGAACCUUCCUCAAGUCCUGGUAAACAAGGAGCGGAGGCAGGGCUUAAACCCGGCUGCUGUGGCUCCAAAUCCUCACCUUUUGCUCCCACUCUGGUGCCUCUCACCCUGCUAGCUAAAGACAGUUCCACCAGAUGACCCAGGAGAGCAGGCGCUGGGACAAGGAAGCAGCUGUGACCUGGCCCAAAGGCAGUGCUUUUCUUUGCAUAGCAUUUUUUAAAUUUAAAAAGCACAGUGCAUACCAGUUGAUGCCCCAGCCCUCCCUCCCAGAAGAAAACAGAUUCGGUUUACCUGAGACUCAACUUCAAUCCCUUGGACAGAAGAGUGCUAUGCUAGGUGCCAGAAACACAACUACAGAUUUCUACCUGGUGCAUGGCCAUCGCUCAUGAAGACUACAACUUCCAGCUUCCUUUGAAGAAAAAGAGGACUUGAUGGCAUUGUCGCUAAGUAAGAAAU
ensembl:lncRNA LINC-ROR long intergenic non-protein coding RNA, regulator of reprogramming